GGCCCCUUACUAUAGAUAGGCUAAGGCGCCUUGUAUUACAUAAUUAUAAAAGCAACCUUUCGCGCAGCUCAAGCUUACUUACUAAGCAAACGUAGGCUUGGGCUCGAACAAGAAACGGAUGUUGCAACUUGCGCGAAAGCCGUUGCGCGUUGCUUGUUAGCGCUUUAGUUUGAUUGUAGGGCGUUUAGGCUUUACUAAUAACAUAGAAAGAAAGAACUUUUCCCAACUUAGGUUAGGUUUAGGCUUUAGCCCCUAUUAGUCAAGCUUUGAUUUGAAGUCAGCUGAAAAACAGAUGCGCGCUACUAGCGCGGCUCGCUUCGCUUUUGUUGCGGAGCGUAGCAGCUCGACCAGAGGGAGAGGAGUGAAGCUGCUUUUCAUUUUGUUAGGAGUAGGUGCUUGCCCUUAGUUGGUUGGGGGAAGAGGGCAUUUCCAUCGCGAAGGAUUCAGAUUCAAUCCAGCCACAGGUUCCCCUACGGCUACCUUGUUACGACUUCA
rnacentral:misc_RNA from 1 species